AAGUUAUAAAUUUCUCAAUCAUUCCAGGUCCUGGUGGCUAGUCAAUUUUGUGGGGCAAACAUCUUGUGGUACGUUGAUUUGAGCUGUUAGAUUCUCUGUUGACAAGAUGUGGCAUGCUGAUUGUUUAGGCUAUGGUGUGAUGCAUUGGAGUAGAUAUGUCAUUCCAAAAGUUUAGAGCACCAGAGGCAUUUUUAAUAACCGAAGCGUUGGUAUAUUUUGGAAUGAAGAAAAUGACUUUAAUCAUGUUAAUAUCAAUUUCUUUUAAUAGAAAAGAGGAUAAGCAACAUGCAAAUGGUCAUUGCUUGUCUACUGUGAUGCAUUUUUUAAUACUUACUAGUAUGUGUUAAAAUGGUUGAGGCUUUACUAUAGUUACCACUACACAUGAAUUUCUUCAUUCCAAUGGCAAUAGGAGUGGACAUUUAGAUUGUGUUCAUCACAUUUGGAUGGGGAAAUGAUUUUGUUUGCUUCGAUGGAUACCCUGUACGGUUCGAGGAUGUGUGAAUUCGCUUCAUUUGGGGAAUAGACUUAAAUUUUGUUUGUAAUAGAGAAAAUAUAUUCUCAUCAGUGAGUGGGUUAUUGAUUAGAGUGCAUUUACUAGUAGGUUGCGGGAGUUCAUGUUAGACAACUGGGAAGGAUGUCGUGCUGCUGCUGCUGCUUCAGGUUUUUCAAGGGUUAGCAGUGAGUGCGGGCUUCUUCCUGGGUGUGAAAUAGUUUUUUAAUGGCGUUAUAAUUUAAUUUUACAAUGUUGAAUACAUAUUAUAUUAAUUUAUUAGUCAUUAAUUAUGUAUUGAUAAUCAAAUAAUGCAAUUAGCUCCUGAUACGGAUCGAUGCAAGCAAUAAACUUUUUAAAAUUUAUUUUCAAUUAAAUUAUUUGUUUCACAUGGCAUUU
rnacentral:misc_RNA from 1 species